rnacentral:rRNA from 1 species
GUGGGGAAUAUUGGACAAUGGGCGCAAGCCUGAUCCAGCCAUGCCGCGUGAGUGAUGAAGGCCCUAGGGUUGUAAAGCUCUUUCACCGGUGAAGAUAAUGACGGUAACCGGAGAAGAAGCCCCGGCUAACUUCGUGCCAGCAGCCGCGGUAAUACGAAGGGGGCUAGCGUUGUUCGGAAUUACUGGGCGUAAAGCGCACGUAGGCGGACAUUUAAGUCAGGGGUGAAAUCCCGGGGCUCAACCCCGGAACUGCCUUUGAUACUGGGUGUCUCGAGUCCGGAAGAGGUGAGUGGAAUUCCGAGUGUAGAGGUGAAAUUCGUAGAUAUUCGGAGGAACACCAGUGGCGAAGGCGGCUCACUGGCUCGAUACUGACGCUGAGGUGCGAAAGCGUGGGGAGCAAACAGGAUUAGAAACCCUUGUAGUCC